rnacentral:lncRNA from 1 species
UAGCCAAGUCAAUUCACCUACUUCUACCGGCAACUUCUUAAUAUAAGAACCUCUUAAGCAAAGGAUUUCUAGUUUCUUCAAGUCUCCUACAACACUUAUAUCAGGCAAACUGCAGCGACACAAACUCAGUGUUCGAAGGUUUGACAGGAGACCAAGUGAUGGAGGCAGUGACCGUAUGUAAGUCAAGUUUACAACUCUGACCUCGAUCAUGCUCUUGAAAAGGUUGUCUGGAAUUGUUACUGGUGAGGUUUCGCAAGGAUCAUCACUAAUAAAAAGAAGUUCGAGCUGAGGACAUUCCAGUACUUUAGGAAGCAAAUUAGGCUUGAUAUCAUGUAUGACGAUUGAAGUGCAAUGCUUUAUUGCACUUCCGUCUGACCAUUCCCUGCAACCAUCAACCUGCUCAUUUGUAGCAGUAAACACAUUUCGUUCAGUAGAUGCAAUUGAUAUGGCGACAUCGCGAACUACAUCAUGCAUAGAAAACAACUCUUUCUUCUGGCUUAUAUGGUCAAGCAACAUACAAGAAGCUUUGAGUGUGCGCACCAAUGUAUGUACUCGAUUUCGUGCUGCUUCCAUCUUAUUCACACCUUGAAAUAAACUCAAUCCCAUACCACACAUUAACAGUUCGUCAAUAGAUGCUAUGGCUGUAUAUCCUAUUAGCAAAAAGAUGUUCUUCAGCUCCUCCCCUACCAAUUUGUCGUAACUCAACUUUAUGGCUUUAUAUGCAUCUGGCUGUACAUGCUUAAAAUUCGAUGAAGAGGGCCUUCCUAGUUUUUCCAAUGCAUCCUUCCAUUCCUGUAUGUUCUUGUUCCUUAAUGCCCUUGCAACCGUCACAAUGGAAACUGGCAGACCUGCACAUCCCUUUGCCACAUCCCUUGCUACCGAUUGGAAUUCACUACCUUCAAUAUAAUCACCUGCCAUCUUCUUGAAUAGAUUCCAAGCUUCUUCUUUGUUUAAAACACCAAUUGAGAAAUUUGUUCGACAAUCCAUCUUCUCAGACAAUACAUUUAGACUUCUGGCCGUCAACAAUACUUUACAACCAUCUCCAAGAGGAAUUCGGACACUCCCCAAAUUAAGAUUUUCCCAAAUGUUGUCUAAAACUAUCAGGAUCUUCUUCACUUUUUUUAUACCUUCAUAUAAGCUGCCUGCCCUUCCUUCAUCACUUUCCUCAUGCAACUUCAGGCCUAAUUUAUCUGCGAUUACUCCUUGAAUCUUUCGUAUGUCUUGAUUCUGAGACACCUCAACAAAAACCACCUGAUCAAAGAGUUUGUCACUCUUGACUUUCCUAGCAACUUCUUCGGCCAGCAUCGUCUUUCCGAUGCCACCCAUUCCAUAAAUCCCAAGCAUGUUGACAUCGCGAUCUUCUAGUGCACUGAGUAUACUCCUCAAAGUGGACAUUCUUGAUUCAAAGGGCUCGUAGUCUUUGUUAGGGAUAAGCCGAAUAUCCUCUGGAGCAGUACGGUAGGAAAUUCUAUCAAAUCUUCUAGCGUCCAGGACUUUGACAACAGCCUCCUUCUGCCUCUCUGCUUCCUUGCUAAGUCGACGGCGGGUCUUCAAAUUAGGUAUUAACCCCUUGAAACAACGCUUAUUUUCAAUGGCUUCAUCGUCUGUAAAUUUAUCUGCCUUAACAAUGACAUCAUUUGCCCCUUCGAGCCAAUUCUCAACGUUCUCUUCAAUCGCUUCCCCUUUUGUUUUAGCCUCAGCAACCCGGUGCUCUAUACUAACCUUCUCAGACUUCAGAUUGUCAACUUCAGUCUUGAGAUUGUCUAAGAUGCUCGUGUACUUACUCUCACGCAAAUAGCUAAUUUGGCGAUAUGCGGGAGGAGCCAAGCACUUCACAACUUCUACAACAAUAGUAAGAAUGAUUUCAGCCAUCUUCAAUCCUUUGUCCUUGUCUCUCUAUCUCUCUUUUUUCUGAAUUUGUGAAAAACAAUUGAUCCAGUUAGGAAGCACACUGAGUGAUUGAACACAAGUGACCACAACAAGAUGGAACAAAAUUAAAAGGAAAAAAAUAGAAAGAGUGGAUGGAGAAUAAAACAGAGACAGCGGCACAGCUGGACACAACUAGAUAGAGAACAGAGGAAAACCAAAUAACAAGACUUAAGAUUACAACAAACAGAGGCCAAGUAUUGUUGAGAUCAGAAGAUGGAAAAUUCAAAAGAGUUGAUGACAGAUGCUGAAUAACAGAACAACAAUGAACGCAAUAAACAGAAGCAAAGUGUGGUUGUGAUCGACAGACGGAAGUAAGGAAAAGCGGUUGUCGAUUGAAAAUGAAUGAAUGCAAGGAAAGACUGAUAUUGAAAAUUGACGUCAAUAGCGAAGGAAUAAUUGAACUUUCGCUUAAUUAUUGUUUGUGGCCUUGUUUUACUUUUUAUUUGUGGGUCAUGUCUUUUGGAACUAAUCAUCUUAGCUUAUGCUUUACAGCUUUAAGGCCAGUAACCGGUGUCCGUUGGAUAAGCAUAUAGAAAUCCAACGGUGGAUAUAUAUCCUUGGGAAUAAAAUUCAAGAGCAAAGGGAGUGCUGGGCUGCAGUUUCUUAAGGAGAUUUAUAUAUCCUCCUCAAAAAUAAAUGUUUUAAGGUAGAUAUUUAGACUAUUUCAUCAUAAAAUGAAUGUAAUUAAUUUUCAAUAAAUAUCUUAUAUAAAUAUUUAUUUAUUUUUUUAAUUACUAAUGACCUUUGAAUAUACAUAUAUACAUAUCACUAAUUCAAAAAUAAAUUGUGAUUAUUUGUUAAUAUAUGCGAUUACUUGUGAUGGUAAACAAAGUAGAUAUGGUAUAUUUUGAAGUUAAAUUAAAAAAAAAAAAAACAGAGCUUUUACCAUUACUUGCCUUAUCAUCUUUUAAAUUAGAAUUAUUAUUCUUUUAUUUUUCAAGUUGCCAACUCAUCCGCAUUCUCUUGUAUUGAAUUUGAAGAUCAAUGAUUAUAAAUUUGUGUGAAAAUUUUAAGUCAAAACUUUAAAUUAAAAUAAUCUUUAAGUUAUUGGGAAAUAAUACCUUAGUAUAACAAAUAUUAUAUCCUAUACUUUAUUGCUACAAAAUUACGAAACCUUAUAUUAUAUUAUGUUUCCAUAUUUCUCCUUUAUAGUGAAGACUCGUACUUCUUCUCUAAUAAAUGCUAAAGUAUUGGCUUAAAUUUUUUAACCGGCACAGUAGACCCUUAAGCUAUAUAUACUAUAAUGUCCCUCUUCUCUCACAGAUUAAACCAAUCUGAUCUCAGAGUGAGUUGAUACCAUGACUUUGCAUCAUUCGUGAUCAAAGGAGCAUCAUUACUAACUAAUAUAGGCUCGAUCAAUAGGCAUGAUAAUAAUUUUUUUUUAUCUACAAACACUAUUUUUCAAAAUAUUUUAUCUUAAGACUAACUAAAUAUUUUUUAACUAUGUAGAUAUAGGUUGUUUGAUCUCUUUUAAAUAGUGGAGAUUACAAACAAACGGAUGCGAAUUAGUAGUGAUGUUGAGUUCAGAAGAUUGAAGUUAAGAAAAUUAAGGGUUUCUUGAUCUAGGGAAAUUUCAAAAGAGUGAAGCGUCCUCAAAAUCGGAAGACGAAAAAUAAGGAAAGGGUAAGGGUGUAUUUUCAAAGUAAUUCUAUUAGUAGAUCUUUGAAGUAGGGGUGGGCAAAUCAGGUUAGUUCGGUUUAAAACGGAUUGAAACAAUUUAAUCCAAAAAUUCUACCAACAACCACUUAAAAUCCAAAAAUCUUAAUUCCAAACAUCCUUAAUAACAAAUAUCAACUACAAACCAUCAUUAACAAUAUUUCAACAAUAACAAUAACAAUAAUAACAACAACAACAACAAUAAUAAUAACAACUAUGAAUUAGCAAUUCAGCAUAUUGCCAUAUUCUAAAUUUAAAAAAAAAACACAAAUUAAUUAAUUAACAAUCUCCAAUUUAAUUUAUAAUAACAGCAAAAAUCCUCCCCAAUUUAAUUAAUAUCAGUCUCCAAUUAUUCAAUUAUCAGUCAAUAGCAACAAACCCACUCCAAUAUAAUUAUAACAAUCUCCAAUUGUUCAAUUAUCAGUCAACAACAACAAAUCCUCUCCAAUUUGUCACGAACAGCCUCUAAUUGUUUAAUUUUCAGUCAACAACAACAAACUCACUCCAAAUAAUUGAACAAUUGUUAAUUAAUUAAUUAAAAAUAUCCAAUUUAAUUAAUAACAACACCCAAGAGCAAGUCAGCAAUAAACCCACUCCAAAAUCCAAAUAUCAGUAUAAACUAAGUGUCAAACCUUGAUCGGUGGGAAGCUACAACGUCGGCAAAGCGUGACCAUGUGGGGCUGAGUGAGACCGUCGACCGAGGGUGUGUGAAGGGAGAAGAGGGAGCAGGGAGGUAACGUGGUGUGUGUGAGUUUAUAUAUAUAUAUUAAAAGCUAAAACUUAAAAAAAAAAAUUUAACUCAAUCCAAACGCACACCUAGAUUACUUCCGUUAAGAGCUGAAUCCCACACUCUUGAGCCUUUGUCGUUCCAGUCAACUAUAAAAACAAAUCAUUAUUGAGUGUGAACAGACUUAUUGAUCACCAAAUUUUCAAACUUGUCAUCCUUAUUGAAUCUGCGUUCCCUUUUAAUAAAAUUUAAAAAAGUACAAAUAAUGAAACAAAGUUAUGUUCCUUCAACAGUUGAUAGAGUUACGCGGCUUCAACUUGCAAGUCCAGUCGGCAUUUUCAAACUUGUAAUACCCUUACAACUUGCUUUCCAAGAUAGCUAUAAUUAAUAAUGACAAUAGUCUCCCCUAUAGCGACUAGUGAGCAACUUGUUUCGUGAAAUUAACGGCAUCUUCUCUCGCAUUUUAAAAAAAAAUUGAAUUAUAUAACCCACCAAAACUAUAAAAGAAUUGUUAGUUUUUCUUCAUUAAAAUUAAUAUAUUGCUCCUCAUAUUGAAAAAUCAAAAUUCAGAAUAAGAAUGAUUGAUACUUUUUAUUUACUAAAAUGAAAAUAAAAUAUAUGAAGCCUACAUAUUUUUUAAAUUAAAAAAUAAGAACUUUAUUUUCUACGGGGAGUGUUGGGAAUCAAGUUCUCAUUAUUUAAACUCUCAAUUGUACUUCAUCGAAAUUUCAUAAUUUCACUUUUGUUCUCAAUUAAAAUAUUAUUGUAGUUAUUAUUCUUAUUUUUAUAGUUGUUGUUGAUGAUGAUGGUGAUAAUGAUGAUGAUGAUGAUACAAGAUAAUAAAAUUAAUGAUAAUUAAACCAAUUUGAAUUCAGAGUGAGUGAGUACCAUUACUUCGCAUCAUUUGAUAUCAAAGGAGCAUCAUUACUAACUAAUAUAGGCUCGAUCGAAUUCAUUAUGCGAAGUAUAUUAUCGGCUGUAGGUAUGGAAAUAAAUUUUGUAUCCACAAACACUAUUUUUCAAAAUAUUUUAAGACUUGACUUAGCAUUUUUUAACCAUAUAUGUAUAGGUUGUUUGACCUAUUUUAAAUAGUGGAGAUUACAACAAAUGAACAGAUGUGGAUUUGUAGAGUUGUUGAGUUCAGAAGAUUGAAGUUAACAAAGGGUUUCUUUAUCUAGAGAAAAUUCGAAAGAGCGAAGUGUCUUCGAGAUCAAAAGACGAAAUAAGGAAAGGGUAAGGUUAUACUUUCAAAAUGAAUCUGUUGAGAGAACUUUAAAGAUUACUUCCGUUAAGAGCUGGAUCCCACACUUGAGUCUUCGUCGUCUCAGUCAGUCAACUAUAAGGACAAAUUAAUUUUGAGUGUGAAAGGACACAAUUGAUCACCAAAUUUUCAAACUAGUGAUCCUUAUUGAAUCUACAUUCCCAUUUGAAAAACAAUAAAAGAUUAACAUUAAUUUAACUUCAUCUAAAUUCCCAUUUGAAUCUGCAUUCCCAUUCCCUUGUUCUCUGGGAAUGCACAUAAUCAAACAAAAUCCUAUCCGCAUUUUCAAACUCGUGACCCUUCAAGCUUUCUAUGACAACUAUAAUGAAUAAUUACAACAAUGCUACCUAAUAGUGAGAACUUGUUUGAUGAAAUUAACAGCUUCUUUUCUCUCAUGUAUUUUAAAAAAAAUUAAAUUAUCAAAGUUUUUAUUUCAAAAUUAGUGCUAUAGUUCAUUAAUUUUUCAAAUUUUCCUUUUUCUUUCCACACAACAGAUUGAUUUGCCCUCCAAAAAAUGUAUUAUAUUGUUUAAUAUUGUAACUUCAAGAAACUUAUAAUAAAUUUUUAAAGAGAUAAAUAGAGAAUAUCAGUCUCCCAUCUACUCAAAAUUAAUAUAUAUCAUUAACUCUUGAUUAUUUUUAUAAAAACUAAUAACUUUUUUUGCAGCAUAAUUUUACAGUAUCAUCCUUGUUAGUAAGUAUAUUUUUAUUCAUAUUUAUUAUAAAUUAAUUAAAUCAUAUCAAUGAAAAUUGAAAUAAAAAUUGAAGUACUACAAAUUAAAAAAAUAUGUUUUGGUGUGAAUAAAAAAUUGAAAAUAAAAAUAUUUUUCUUAUAUUUUUUGUUAUUUUUAAAUUUUUCUUAUAAUAAAUGUAUAUUUUAUGUGCUCAACUUUUUCUUUAAAUUUUUGUUAUUAGGAGGAUUUUUAGAUAUAAUGAAAAUUGUAAAGUAGUAAGUAAUAUAUAAUAAUUUUAAUAGAGAAAAGUAAAAAAUCUCUUAUUUUAAAAUACAAGGAGAAAAAUAAUUAAUUUCAAGACAUUUUAGAAGAUAUUUCAAUAUGCGGUGGACCACAAACUCGAGUCUUUGUCAUCUCAGUCAAACUAAAAGGACAGAAUAUUGAGGGCAUGGCUAACGUGCAGAAGCUACAAGUAACAGCUUCGAACUUUCCCAUUUCCAUCACCUUGCAUUGGGAGUUUGGGACCUCUUUCUCUCUCCUCUAGCAGCCGUGGAAGUUCCCCAUUGGCUACUGUUACUUACAGAAGCUGUAACAUAGACUUCUCCGAAUAUUGACCGCGAAGGGCUCAAGUGAUUGUUCAUUUCACAGCAAUUGCCUUUUUUCUUUUUUUCUAAUUAUUGGGAAAUAAGAACUUAGUAUAACAAAUAUUAUAUCCUAUACUUUAUUGCUAAAAAAUUACAAAACCUUAUAUUAUAUUAUGUUUCCAUAUUUCUCCUUUAUAGUGAAGACUCAUACUUCUUCUCUAGUAAACGCUAAAGCAUUGGCUUAAACUUUUUAACCAGCACAGUAGACCCUUAAGCUAUAUAUACUAUAAUGUCUCUCUUCCCUCACAGAUUAAACCAAUCUAUCUCAUAGUAAGUUUGCAUCAAAGGAGUAUCAUUACUAACUAAUAUAGGCUCGAUCAAUAGAGAUGACAAUAAUUUUUUUAUCUACGAACAUUAUUUUUUCAAAAUAUUAUAUCUUUAGACAUAACUAAAUAUUUUUUAACCAUAUAUGUAUAGUUUGAUUAAAUAGUGGACAUUACAACAAAACAUAUGCGAAUUAGUUGUGAUGUUGAUUUCAGAAGAUUGAAGUUAAAAAAAUAAAGGGUUUCUUGAUCUAGGGAAAUUUCAAAAGAGUGAAGCGUCUUUUAGAUCAUGACGAAAAAAAAGAAAGGGUAAGGGUGUAUUUUCAAAGUGAUUCUAUUGAAAGAUCUUUAAAGAUUACUUUCGUUAAGAGCUGUAUUCCACACUCUUGAGCCUUUGUCGUCUCAGUCAACUAUAAAGAUACAUUAUUAUUGAGUGUGAACAUUCCGACUUAUAGAUCACCAAAUUUUCAAACUUGUGAUCUUCGUUGAAUCUGCAAUCCCUUUUGAAAAAAAAAAAAAAAAAAGGGGAAAACUGCAAAUAAUGAAACAAAAUUCUGUUCCUUGAUAGAGUUACGCGGCUUCAACUUGCAAGUGCUGUCGGCAUUUUCAAACUUGUAUGACCCUUCAACUUGCUUUCCAAGAUGGCUAUAAUUAAUAAUGACAACCGAAGACGGCUACGUUUGCGGUACAAAAGUUGCACCAUAUUAGACGUUCUUUUUUGUUCUUAUCCGAAGUAACCGUUGGAUUCAAAGGAAAGUGAUCAGACAUUCAAUAGCUUCACACGUGGACAUUAUAGGAUACCGGUCAAAUCGGUUAGUGCUCCUCCUCAAUCAAACUCACAAGCAUGGCUAUCAUCGUAUCAGCUUGGAAACUUGUUACAAGUGACUAAGAGCAACAGGGUCCGCUCCUCUAGAGUCGGUUAGUGCUCAAUAAUGUUACAGGUUUUAUAAUCUAUGUAACUGGUACGAUCGCUGUCUCAAGUGGUAAACUUUUGAGGCACAAAUUUAGAACGAAAAGUUCCCAAUAAAAUAAGUUAUUUAAUUAAUUAAAUAAGAAUAAAAUGAAUUUGUGAAAAAAAAUUUAAAUUUAAUUUUGAAUUAUUUUGACCAAAAUUUAAGUUUUUUUUUUUAAUUUGUUUAAGAAAAUGCGUUGUAAUUGUCUUGUUUUAAUUGGAAAAUCAAUGAAAAAAUUAUGUAAAAAAAAAAAGCAAAACGCUUUGUUUUGGAUGGAGGCCAUAGAUUCCAAUAUUUCCUUCACGAAAACUACAAAAAAAUUAUCAAAGGCAUCAAUUUCUACACUCUCACCGAGCAAUACUCUUAACCCAGAAGAAAGUGUAUAAACCAACCCCAAUCAGUCCAUCAAUGUCGUCAACCUCAUACAGCAUAAAAAAAAUAUGUGUCCAUUAAACCGUCUUUAUUGAGCCAUUAGACUAUUCGUAUCAUCUUCCCGUCUCGUUGUAGUAUUUUGCCGUUCAAAACUAGUUAUCAAUUGGGGAAAAUGGGGACCAAUCUGCAAGUCUUUAAAAUAGAAAGAAACUUUAAUUGGGCACUAUGUUCACGGUGGCAGACCCAGCAGCAGCUAUUUGUGCUUUAAAAAUAAUUUUACACAUUCUAAUUUUAAUAAAAAUAUAUAUUACAAAAUUACUUAUCAUAUAAGUUACUGGACAAUAUAUUAUAAGUCAACAUUAUAUAAUUACUUUGAACACUUAUAUAGCCCAAUCCUAAUUCAAUUUAUUAUUCUCAUAACUUAAAUAUAAAAAUUUUUAUUUCCAACUUCUUAAUUAAUAUGUAGAUGAAUAAUAAGGAAAUUAACUUUGAGAAAAAAUUAAAUACAAAAUAUGUGUAAUACUUUCAAAAAAAAUAAACAAAAGUAUUGCACAAGAUAAUUUUUUUUGGGGGGGGGGGGGCUUUGGCCAUUCUUCUUCUUCUCCUUCUCUCUCUCUUUUUUUUUUUUUGUAGUAUUUAUGGAACAUUUUCUAUUGUUAUGUUCUCAUUGCAAGUUAUUUUGGGUGUAAAAUUCAACAUUGAAAAUAAAUUAAAUAAAAAAAUUAGUAACUAAAAUUAUGUUAAAUUAUUUUUUAACUUAAUUUUUAAUUAUAUUAUUAGUAUAUGUUAGAUCUCUUAAAAAUCGAGUGUUGAAUAAUUUUAUUAGUUUUUUAAACAAAUAAAGUUAAAUAACUUAAAAAAUUUAAGUAAGGAUAUUUUUAAAUUUUUAAACAGUAUACAAAGUAAAGUUUAUUUUCUUGUCAGUGGCAAAUGAUCACGACAAGAAAUCUAAAGUAGAAACAGCAGAGCUCAACAAAUCACUAAGAGAAAAUAAGACCAAUAACCAAGCAGAUAAAAGAAAAGCAAAAUAACCCAUCUCAAAUCACCACAUGCACAAUUUAAGGGGUUUGUGACAUGGGUUUAAGCAUGAUUUAACAAGUGCCACCUGUGAAUUGUCAGAGAUUGUAUUUUCAUACACAUGUCUAGGGGUGGGCAUAUUUUAACCGAACCGAUCCAAACCGAUCCAAACCGACCAUUUGGUCGGUUUGGAUCGGUUUCAUUAGUAAAAAAACUGGUUUCGGUUUAUUGGAUUGCAAACCGACAUCACUCGGUUUGGAUUUCGGUUUGGAAUGAUUCCAAACCGAUUCAAACCGAUCCAAUCCAAAAAUAUUAUAUAAUUACAUUAUAUUUUAAGUUAAGCAAUCUAACUAAUUAUAUUUAUCAUUUUAUGCAGAUUUUGACAAAUCAAAACUAAUUAGGCCAUAAGUUUUGACGGACAAGAUGCACAAUAUUUUAAUUGUCAAAUGUUGUUCAAGUUUAUUUUAAUUUUGUGAGUUUGUUUUGAAUGAAUAUGUUAAGAACUUCUUUAUUAGGAUGUAUUAUACCGUAAACUUGUAUGGAUGUAUCUUUAAAUUGUUAUGUAGAUGUCAAAGUAGAUAUGAAUAAUAUAAAAGAGGUAUCAAUUUGGAUUACGGACACAAAAAAAUAACAAAUAAUUUAGGUAAAAUAAUAAAAAAAGUGGGCUUUUAGCUAAUAAACUCAAACUGAGAAUCCAAACCGAUCCAAACCGAUCCAGUCGGUUUGGAUCGGUUCGGUUUGAAAAAUUUUUAAGUUGAUAUCGGUUUGAAAAUAUUUCAAACCGAUAAGUUUGGAUCGGUUUGAGAAUAUGUCUCAAACCGAUCCAAACCGACUUUGCCCACCCCUACACAUGUCAAAUUUUCAAGUCCAACAAAUUGUUAUCUUUCUAAAGAGGCUAAUAUUAUUAUUAUCUAUGCAUAGCAUGCUAUAAACAAUUCAUAUUACUGGGCCUUUGUUUUGUGUACACAACAUAUGGACAGAGGAACAAAUGCCUGAGCUAAAAUCAUCAUAUUCCAAAAUAUUCUAUUAAAUCAGCACCACAAAACGCGAACGCUAAACAGAAUUGGAGCAAUUUACCAAAGCUAUUUGUCACGCAAAGCACUAGUACCUCAGAACCCAAUUUGCAAAAAAGCACCAAAAAUGAAAAAUAACAAAUGCCCAGAUGAAAAAUCAGGAAAAAAAAAAUGCUCAAAUCCAAAUUACAACCCCAUAAGUUGAGUCGUUCUCUUCGAACUGAAUUAAAAAUAAAUAAAAAAAUUAAAAUGGGGAGAUUGACCUCAAACUUUGGAAACAGAAGCGACAGCGAUCUGUUUCUUGUCUGGAGUGUCCAUUUCUAUAAUCUACUUUGUCCGUUUUCAGUUGCUCUGCCACAGAGCUUCUUCCCUCUGAAGCUGAAGCUCACACACACUCGCAAAACGAAAGCAUUUUUUAUUGAUUGAGAGGCGGGAAGGCGGGAAAAUGAGAGAAAUUUGCAUUUGUUUUCUCUUGGUUUGGUCAUACUUGUGCGGGCCCCAGCUUGACAAGCGGUAUUAUUACUAUUUGUAUAAUUUACAUGACGCGUGUCACGCAAUGACGAUAAAAAAUAUAUAUAUAUUGUUAAUUUUUCACUUAACAUUGAAAUAUCAUAUAAUUUUUCCAAUUUUAUGGUUAUUUUCUCGCCCUUAUGCCACAUUCUUUUGAUCAAAUAAUACAGUAAAACUUUUCUAUAAUCAUAAUAUUAGAGCCAAAUUAACUUUAUUUCUGUAAAGAGGCUAUAGCUUAAUAAAGGUAAAAUUAUAAAAAAAAUAUUAUUUUGACUCAGUUAUCUUUAGUGCAAGUGAUAUAAAGUACAAAUAUAUGAUAAUUAAUUAAUGAACUAUGUCAAAUACAAUAUGCUAACAAUGAUAAAAAAAGAUAGACAUAAUUUCAAGAAACUAUGUAUUUAUGUAGUGCUGGGAUUAUACAAAAUUAUCUUAAAAGUGUAAAGAGUAAAGUAUUAUUCUGAUUAAUUUAUAAAAAAAUUAUUUUAUCUUAAUCUUUAAUGCAACAUAGCUUUUUCUUUUCUUAACAACAAAGCAUUGUUUCAAAUAAUAAUUAUUGGAUUCAAAUCAUGUCCUAGGCAUUUUUUCUUCUAGUCGUCUUAAACUUUUAAUGAUUUAUUGGGAUGUGUCAAUCAUUAAUGAAAUUAAAUAACUAAGACUUUGUUUUAAUUAACGUUUACAUAAAUAGACAUCAAAACUCAAGUGUGAUUCUUAUCAAUUUUUUCCUGCAAAUUCUUUUCCUCUCAACUAUUCAUAUUUUGACAUUAAUUUCCAGCAAAUUAUUAAAAAAAAAAAGAAGCGUAAAAUGGAGAAAAGUGAUUGACAACAAGGUUUGCAUCUUAAUUUCAAAAUUUUCCUUUCUUUGCUAUUUUUGUGAGUUCUACAAUUGUUGUUUUCACUCUCAGCUGCAGUUCAAUGAACUCUAUUAAUAACCAUGAAGCUUAAUGUAUCAAUUCCAGUACGAGAAGUCCUUCUACGCAUGUUACAACACUUUUUGGUCAUUAUAGGUUGCAAAUGUUCCGUAAUGUACUCAUUCAUAUAACGGAAACGCUAUUAUCAAUAAUGAAAGUUGACUAAGUUUGUAAAUUCUAUUUAACGAAAAAGUAACAUAAAUUUAGUUGAACAAGAGGUAAUCAAUAUGUAAUCUAUGAAACUAGGGUGUGACUAAGUUACAUAGUAAUGUAACUUACAUGAACACAAAAAUAAUUAGUUUUUAAACUACAAGUAAUUUUGGAACUGCUCUUAAAUUGAUAUAAGUUUUAUUAUUAUGUAACUUAGCAAGGUCAGGUAUUUUAAUAAUAGCACAUCACUAUUGUUUCAUGUGAAUGAUGCAAUUGGAUUAGCCAAUACAUACUGUCAUCCCCGGGAGAUGCUAUGGCAAUAGCUUACUCUACCGUGCCAAUGUCAUUAGUAUUAAUCUGUUGAGCCUAAGACCAGAUCUAAGCUGAUCUAGAUUCCCCAAGAUCGCACACCACACAGUGAUUAAUGAAUCAAGAACAAUAAACCAUCAAAGAAUCGCAAACUUACAUGUCGGGUUACAUGUAAUAAAUGUUUUAAUUAUUAGAUGAUUCAUAAUGUUAGACCAUUUUUUGUAUGUUUUGUAAUCUACGUUUGAUAAUUUAAUUAGCUGAUAAACAUUUGAAUAAUAUUAUUUCAUUAGCUAUGUCAUUGAUCCCCAGGAAAAAAAAAAAAAAAAAACCCAAUUUGGGAUGUUAUACAUUACUUUUUCAUUACUUCCCAUUUUAGAUUAAUAUUUAUCACAUAUAUUCUUAGCAACUUGUAACCCUUUUUGCUAAGGGUGAAAUGUGUUUGUUACCCCUUCUAUUUCUGAGAUUGUCCUUACAAUAAGGAUGCCGGCCCCAAUGUCAAAAACUGCUAUCUCUAGGUGUAAAUUCCUUAUAAAAUUCUUUUUUAAUUGAAAUUACUUAAAUAAUUGAAGAUAAAUUAAUUUUUUAUUUCAUUCAAAUAAAAAAAAAUAAUUAAACACUUAAAUAAGCUAUCCUUUUAAUUUUUUUUUUUACACCCAUCCAGUUUCAUAAUUUAUAUUUAUAAUUUAAAUUUUAAUGGAAAAUAUUUUUUUGAAAAAUUUUAAGAAUUAAGAAUUAUGGGGAUAAAAAUUAUGUAAUAAGAACAAAAUAAUUUAAAAUUUUAAAAUUUGCAUGUAUUAUGAACAAAAACUUGAAAGAAAUACUCUUUUCAGGGUGAGAUUUAAUCAGAAAAAGAUUAAUUUUCAUUUAUGGAUCAGUAUUUUAUAAAUUAAACAGAGGUAUUUUAAGAAAUAGAAUUCAAAAGGCAUGGGAACAAGGGCAUUGGGUUUCCUUUUGUUUUGUAUGGAUUGGGAAAAAUACACGGACAGACAAAGGGAACAGUCAUUAUAAUGCUGCGGAGCUUGUCGGAGAUUCCCUGCCCAUUUGUAGCUUAGACUCCUGGGGUUUUGUUCAUGUCUUUUCUGUAUCCCACUUUCUCAUGCAGCAGAUGUACAUAUGAUGAGAUGAAAACAACAGCAAAAAUUGCUGUCUCAUAAGAGAAAUAGUCAUACAUAGUUGGUUAGGCCUCCAGUCCAUUAACUUAAUAAUGAAUUUUACGAAAAUUGAUUAUCUCAUUGGAAUUACAUAGAUAUUGGAAAUCAUUACUCCAGCCCCACCAUGCCAACCAUUUACUUAGUUCAUCAGUAAAAGCUGGAUUUUCCAUUUGUUCUUGAGAUUCAAAUUAAGGCAACAAGUUGCUCAUUCUAUAUUAUCUAUGUAAUCCUGUAAAAGUGAAGGGCGUUUAGAUGUGGAAAAACCUUACUCCUGCCGCAACACCUCAAACAGAUUGUGAUCAGACAAGACUUAGUUCAUCAUUAGUAGUAGUUGGAGCUUCCAUUUGUUCUAGAGAUUUAAAGGCAGCAAGCUGCUUCCUCAGUGCUACUAAUUCUUCCCCGGCAUUGCAUAUGUAGCCUGAGGCUUGUCUACCAGACAAAGUUGCUCCUUCCAUACUAUCUAUGUAAUCCAGUGAGAGUGAAACCAUUUAGAAGACGUAUCUCUUUCUUUCCAAUAUUUAGAAUGAAACAAUUAUAUACAGUUACCUGUUUUGCAUAUGAGCCGGUGAGGAAGAAGUUCUUCACUGGUGUCUUUUGAUCACGUCUGAAGGGGUCUUUACCAGGUCCCUCACCGCACAUAGAUUGCCCGAUUUUGACGAAAGAUGACCAAAUAACUUCCAAACCUUGGGAUGAUGGAAAUGGAGCUAAAACCUAAUAAAAGGAACCGUGAAUGGAUAGUAUGGACUCAUGUAUAUUAUCCAGAAAGUUGCAUGACCUUUUGUGGUACUCAGGUCACUAAAAAACGUGAGAUAAACAUCUAGGAUAAGAAAAGCAAAAAAGCAUAACCUAAUACGUAUUAUAUGAAUUGAAGGUGUCACUGAACGCUACCAACCUGCUUUGCCACUCUCCUUAUGAUUUCAUCAUUUGGUAAGGGCAUAUAAGGAUCUCCAGGCGUCAAAACGCGUCUGAAAGAUAAUAUGGUUAUAGUAAACAACAUGGAAUACAAAGACACUUGGCAAAAGGAAGUCAAUCAGAUUCCAUGCACAAAAAAUAACUAAUAAUGACGACGAUAAGAAAUUUUUCACACCGGAGCCUUCUCUAUAGUAGUCUUCUGGUGAAGUAAGUGCUAGAUCUGCAAAGCAAGAGAAAUCUGCAUCUGGAGUAUAUAAAAGGUUAUCUAACCCCACAGCUUGCCUCAAUUGCCUACAUGUUCAAAACAAGGAUCUAUUAAAAAAUGGAAAUUUCUUCAAUGCAUUAGUGAAGGGAAGUGAAGUGAAAGCGGAUUUCUUAAGCCUUCACAGAGCAUCUUGUGUUUGAAUUCCGGUAACCUCACAAAAGAUUAGAGCAUCACCUUGACCGUUCUAGGUCUUGCAACUCAGUAACCCAACCAUUGUAUCUAAGCUGCACUGUGACAACAUGAACUCCAACGAGCUCAUAAAUAUUGUUGAAAAAUUUCAUUUCCCUCCAGCCUCCACAAUGAUGAAAGCAAUCUUUUAAUUCCAGGGACAUCACAUGCUGCCAUUAAAUAAGAAGUUGAAUAAAGAAAAAUCGUUCAACUAAAUGAUUCAGGAGUUAAAAAAAAAUGUAGAAGUAGAAAUAAAUAACAAAGAUUUAACCAUAAACCUGCAACAUUUGCAUCAGCUUGCACAACCUUCUUGUCAGUGGCCUGAAAUAGAAUGAGAACUUGAAAGACAGUAAGCAUAAAAGAAUAAACUCAAAGAAGCUGCUUCUUACAGAUGAUAUAAACAACAAAUUUACAAAUGUCAGGUCAUUGCAUUAGCUCCAUGCCUCCAUCAGAGGGAAUAUUAGUAGAUGCAUAAAAAAAUAAUUAGAGCCACAUGUGAAACAAUUUACCUUAGACAUGGCAAGUGCUUUAACAAAUGUUUCCCCGUUAGCAGAUUUAUCAUAAAGUAUCUCUCUGCAUCCCCACCUAAGAUGGAACCUGUUCUCACAAGAACAGAUCCCAAGGUUGGGAAAAUCAGUUCAUCAUAGGAGAAAACAAAUAAGAUUAACAAAUCACUACAAUGGUGUGAACCCGUAAAUACAAACGUACCUGCCCCCUUUUUCUGUGAUAUAUUUUCUUAUGGGCCCACUCAAAUAAACAUCCGGAGAACCCGAGCAUCAGCAAUAGGGAAGCCUCGGUCUUAGUCGCAAAUAGUGCAAGUAUGGUAAGCGUACAAUGAGCACUGAUGUUAUCACAAUCAAUAAACCCAAGGGCAUACGCAACAGGAUCCCACAUUCUUUGGAUACUUGUCCGUGUACCACCCUUGGACAAAAACCAAUCAGAGAAGCUUAUGUGUAAGAAGAAAUGAAGUUUUAGGUAAAAUAACAAUUUGUAGGAACAGGGAUUGAAAUUCAACAGACAAGGAAAUAUGAUAUCAUUCUUACACUAUCCAAAUCUCAUAUGUCCUUCAAGGCUCCAUCAGGAUCAACAAGUGCCUUUACAACAGGACUCAGAGCAAGAGCAAGAGCAUUUCUUGCUUUAUCUUAAGUCUGCACUUGAGCAAUAUACCAGGCAAAGUACAUCAAAAGAGAAUCCAAAAGAGGCAAGAAGCUUCAACAUGAAAAAAGGAGUACUGCCUCAUCAUACUGCUUUGCAAUCACAGUGCAAAAGAUAACAUCAACAAAUCAAAAUCGACCAAAAAUCCAUAUGCACUACCUUAAGCUGAUUUGUAGACAAAAAUGUGCGAAUCCCAUGUAACGGAGCUCCAAUCAGAAACCGGAAAUCAAGUUCUGGAGUUGAAAAUCAAAAUCAUGAACCAAAUCAGAGUUAUUAUUGAAUUUGACAAUCCAUAAACCAAUAGAAGGUGAUGUCAAACCAUCAAGCAUAACUACCCACCAAGCAAAACUAUUAGUAGUUUUAAGUGAUCAAGAAAUAACCAUACCACCAAUUUCACCACCCUUAUUUACAAAUGUAUGAGUAUGAUCCUUCAUGAGUAAAUUUUUGUCCACACCUACCUGUCGAAAUGCUUGAAAAACUAUCAGAUCAUAAACACAGGCUCCAGUUAAAGAGGAUCUAUGAUUCUGAUCCAUCAUGUUAUUUGAACAACAUUUUCGAAUUUUGGUACAACCCUAAGCUAUAAUCAGUUGUAGUGGUACAACCCUAAGCUAUAAUCAGUUAUCAUCACUACAAAUGAUAUGGUCAAGAGGAAUGAUAGUUCUUGUUUCAAGUAUCUCAAAUCAUAAUUCUUUUGCAUGGCUUGUGUGCUUUUAUAAUCAUUCAAAUACGCAUAUCCACAACUAAGCAAGCUUUACCAUUUUCAUCAAUCGGAAGAGAUUAUUGUAGCAUCCAAAGAAAACGUGCAGGCCCAUUUCAAUAUGGUUUUCACGUUUAUCGACAAAUGAACCCACUUUACCACCAAUAAAAGACCUCGACUCAUAUAUAUCCACCUGGAAGAAAGGAAAAGUUAAAAAAAAAAAGUGUUGAGAAUUAUGUUUGAUUAAACUUAAUUCUUUCCCCAAGAAAUCUCCACACACUGAUCUUAUUGAAACAAGAAUGAAUACCCAAGAUAGUAAUCAGAAAUAAAGCAAGAGUGUUUAGACAGAAAUAGAGAUUAAAAGCAUAGAAUAAACCGGACACAAGGAGAAUUAUAGAGGUUCGGCUGGGUAGCCUACAUCCUCUUGAGAAACAGAAGCCAUAGCUUUUCUUUGAUGCUUAACAGAUUACAAGACUUAGAGAGUUUGUUACAAAGAACGUUGGUUAUCUAAACUUGGCCUUGGAGACCUUAUAUACAGCUCUCGAAGGAUCCAGAUAAGUGUGCUGCUUGCCAGCUCUUGUUCUGGGUUUGUUGAAACAAACCCAGAAAGUUCCCGCCAAGGCUAACCGUUGAUAACAGCCUUUUAAUUAGAAACGACACUUGCUGCUGCCGUUUAACUAAAGCUUGAAUCCGUAGAUGCUCGUGCAAUUCACGUGCAUUACUUAAGCUAUUCGUGUGACAGGAUAUGGUUGUCAUAUGCACAGCAUUAUCUGUCUGAUUGCUUUGUCGUUACUUGAUUAAUCCUAGACACGACAAAGUCAUCUUCUCCGUAAGCUCUUAAUUCAGGUUCACAAUUAACAAAAAGGAAUAAAAAUUCUUCUAAUUUCUUACACCAUCAACAAAAUCAGAAUAACACAUACUAGUUCAAAAUGAAAUAAAGUUUGUGAAUUGAAAUAAUGCCAACUCCUAAGAAAAAUUAUGACUGCUGAUAUUUUUUCCGAAACGCUGAUAAAAGCCUCUGCUAUUUACUUUGAAAAAAUUGAGGUUAGAAGCCAAUUUACUUGAAAUUUUUGAGUUUAGGCAAGAGGAUGAAUGGUAAAACUGAAACAUAUUAGGGAAAAAUGUACUUCAGAGGCCAAUGAAAGCAUUCAGAAGAUUGAAAACUAAAUGAGCAAAACCUCGUGGCCAUGAUCCAACAAUUCCACUGCUGUUGACAUGCCUGCAAGCCCAGCUCCAAUAAUAGCCACUUUCAGCUUUGGUCCUCUAUAAUGUUCCGGUUCUGGUAGAAACAAACCCUUGGGAGCUGCCAAGUAUACCAUCCAAUUAUCCACAGUGAUAAUGGAAAUAUAUAUUUGUUUAAAGGUACUAAAUUCCUAAACAUGAAAUGUAUCCAAAAAGAGACACAAAGCAGAAUUGAGUAAGCAUUUCAAUUCCCAAUAAAUUUCAAGAAUACAAAAUACUCGGUCUGUUCUUCAAUUCCUUUAAUAAAAUUUCCACUAGAGGCUACGCAAGCCACUCAAUAACACGCCAAAGCCAGAUUUUAAACGUUAUCUUUAUCUUUAACUCCAAUCCAUAAACAAUUCUGCCACAAAUUCAAUCCAAAAUUGUUCAACUGCACCGCCAAUUCUCCAUCAAUUCCCUCAAAAAUUCAUAAUUGCCAAACACUGCAAACCAAAAAGAGCUUCCAGCAAUAAACGCAUAAAAAUCCGCCAAACAACAUAAAACAAAAUACCUAGAAACCAGAAAAGCCAAAAGAUCAAUGCUUGGCAAACAAGCAAAUCAAAUAAAACAAAAAGAAGAGAAAUUUACCAUUAACGCUCAUAUCAGAAACAUUCGUGUCCAAAGAAGCCCGUACGUGGAAUCGUGGACCCUUCACUUGAACCCGAGACCAUUUAACGCCAGUAACUGAAGUUGCAGGAAGCAGAAGUGAAGAACCCAUAUUGCAAAUCCUGAGCUGAAAUCAAGAAAUUCAAUUGGAACUCAAUUCAACUCAACCCAGCUGAGCUCUCUUUUGCUUCAAUAACAAAGUGUUUUUCUUUUAUAUCAACAAAGAUUUGUCAACAUCAACAAAAUUUAACUAAGAAACUAAAAUAAUAAAAGAGGGCACCUUUGAGUUUAAGAAUCUAACAAGAUGCUAAGGAAGAGAGUUUUGUCAGGGAACUGUUUCGGAGAGGUUGGCCAAGUGCUUUUUUGUUUGUUUGUUUGUUUUUUUUUUUUUUUUUUUUUAUCAUUUUGGCCCUUUUCAUUAAUACACAACAUUAGUACUCGCGAAGAGCACAAAAUGUUGGUGACUUUGUCACUAACGAUAAUGGAUGGAGCGACCAAAGCAACCAACUAAAUUUUAAAGAGAGGGAAUGACAAGCAAUAUUUUAAUUGGGUGAUUAAUUAAUGUAUUAUCAAGCAAUUGCAUUUAUUUAUUUAAACGAGGGUUUGGCUACAAUGCCGUUGGCAUUGUAGCCGGCACCAUGCCGGGCUCUCAAAAAGAGAGCCCGGCUGUCUUUGGCUGCCAUCUGGCAGCCAAAGACUUGGUGCAGCCAGUUAACAAACCGGUUGCACCAUAUUUUUUUAAAAAAUAUAUUAAAAAUAUAAUAUAAAAAUAAAAAAAUUAAAUAAAAUGUCAAAAAUAAUUUUUUAUAAUAUAAUUAAUAGCAAAAGAUAAAGAAAUUAAAUAAUAUAAUACAAACCCUAUAAUACAAUAUAAUAUAAUUAAAUAAAAUGGCAAAAAAUAAAGAAAUUGAAAAUGAAAAAAAUAGUAUUUCAGGUUUAACGUCAGUUGUUGCAUGUCCGAUGUCUCGAUUGCAUGUUUGACGUAAGAUGUUGCAUGUGUUGAAUAAAGCCAAAAUAAAGAAUAUUCUCGAAUAUUCUCGUCCGUUUCAUGUUUGACGUCGAAGUUGCGAACUUUACGUGAUAAGUUGUAUAUUUCGCGUGAAGUGUUGUAAGUUUCAUGUUUAACGUCCGUUGUUGCAUGUCGGACGUCACGGUUGCAUGUUUGACGUAAGCUGUUGCAUGUCUUGAAUAAAGACAAAAUAAAGAAUAUUCCCGAAUAUUCUCGUCCGUUUCAUGUUUGACGUCGAAGUUGCGAACUUUACGUGAUAAGUUGCAUAUUUCGCGUGAAGUGUUGCAAGUUUCAUAUUUAACGUCAGUUGUUGCAUGUUCGACGGUUGGAUUUCAUGUUUGACAUACGAUGUUGCAUGUUUUGAAUAAAACCAAAAUAAAGAAUAUUCCCAAAUAUUCUCGUCCGUUUCAUGUUUGACUUCAAAGUUGCAAACUUUACGUGAUAAGUUGCAUAUUUCACGUGCAGUGUUACAGGUUGCAUGUUUAACGUCCGUUGUUGCAUGUCGAACGUCACGGUUGCAUGUUUGACGUAAGCUGUUGCAUGUCUUGAAUAAAGCCAAAAUAAAGAAUAUUCCCGAAUAUUCUCGUCUGUUUCAUGUUUGAUGUCGAAGUUGCGAACUUUACGUGAUAAGUUGCAUAUUUCUCGUGAAGUGUUGCAAGUUUCAUAUUUAACGUUAGUUGUUGCAUGUUCGACGGUCGGAUUUCAUGUUUGAUGUAAGCUGUUGCAUGUCUUGAAUAAAGUCAAAAUAAAGAAUAUUCUCGAAUAUUCUCGUCUGUUUCAUGUUUGACGUCGAAGUUGCAAACUUUACGUGAUAAGUUGCAUAUUUCACGUGCAGUGUUGCAGGUUGCAUGUUUAACGUCCGUUAUUGCAUGUCGGACGUCCUGCUUGCAUGUUUGACGUUCGAUGUUGCAUGUUUUGGAUAAAGCCAAAAUAAAGAAUAUUCUCGAAUAUUCUCGUCCGUUUCAUGUUUGACGUCGAAGUUGCAAACUUUACGUAAUAAGUUGCAUAUUUCGCGUGAAGUGUUGCAAGUUUCAUAUUUAACGUCAGUUGUUGUAUGUUCGACGGUUGGAUUUCAUGUUUGACGUAAGCUGUUGCAUGUCUUGAAUAAAGCCAAAAUAAAGAAUAUUCUCGAAUAUUCUCAUCCGUUUCAUGUUUGACGUCGAAGUUGCAAACUUUACGUGAUAAGUUGCAUAUUUCACGUGCAGUGUUGCAGGUUGCAUGUUUAACGUCCGUUGUUGCAUGUCGGACGUCACGGUUGCAUGUUUGACGUAAGCUAUUGCAUGUCUUGAAUAAAGCCAAAAUAAAGAAUAUUCCCGAAUAUUCUCGUCUGUUUCAUAUUUGACGUCGAAGUUGCGAACUUUACGUGAUAAGUUGCAUAUUUCGCGUGAAGUGUUGCAAGUUUUAUAUUUAACGUAAGUUGUUGCAUGUUCGACGGUUGGAUUUCAUGUUUGACAUAUGAUGUUGCAUGUUUUGAAUAAAGCCAAAAUAAAGAAUAUUCCCGAAUAUUCUCGUCCGUUUCAUGUUUGACGUCAAAGUUGCAUAAUUUACGUGAUAAAUUGCAUAUUUAACGUGACUUGUUGCGGGUUUCAUGUUUUACGUCUAUUGUUGCAUGUUGGACGUCACGGUUGCAUGUUUGACAUUAGAUGUUGCAUGUCUUGAAUCAAGCCAAAAUAAAGAAUAUUUCCGAAUAUUCUCGCUUGUUUUAUAUUUGACAUCAAAGUUGCAUACUUUACGUGAUAGGUUGCAUGUUUGACGUAAAAUAUUGUAGGGUAGGUUUAUAUAAAAUAACUAAUUAUAAAAUGAGAGUGCAUUUCAAAAUUCCUUGACAAAUCAAGUGAUAAUUUAUAACUAAACUUAUUUUUUUCAAAUUUUUUAUUAUUAAUUAAGUUUAAUUAAGCCAAUCUAUUAAGAAACAAAUGAAAAUAUAUUAAAAUUAAAUUAAAUGCAACUUUUACCCAAUAAAUAUAUUUAGGAAUAUAUCUAAUUAAAUUGGUACACAAAUUACAAAUGUUUUCAAGAAAUUACACACAUAAGUUUAAUAGUCUAACUAUUUUUUAUAUGAUUGAUAAAAUGAUGGCUUUGGAAAGAACUUGUGAUUUGAAAAGAAAAAUCUAGUUAAUUAUAAUAAAAUUACAUAUCUAAUCCAACCUUUUUUCCUUAUUUUAGUCAGAUAAUAGUUUUGAAAAUAAUUUGAUAAUUCAAGUGAUAAUGUCUAUUCUUAUUUGUUGUAUAAUAUUUUUUUAGGUGCAUUUCAUUUUAUUUUUAUUUUUUUAGAGAAUCUAAUCAUGGUGGAUAUUUUAAAUUACUAAGUCAUGAAAAUUUUGAAUUCAAUUGAAAUUUACAAUCUUUUAUGAAUGAAAAUAUACAGCAAGACAAAAAAAUUGAGAGAUAAAAAGAAAAUGUGGUAGAAAGAAAAGGCAACAUCAAUAUGAUCAUUUUCUAAGAAAAAUUAAGGCAAAAUCUUCCAAGUAAUAUGGUCAAUUUCAAUAAAAUUACAACUUACUAGAGUAAAUCCAUCUACUAAACAUCCAAAGUUCACAACAUAAUAUUUGAAUAUCACCAAUAACAUCCCCAAUCCUAAAGAUUGCAACAAAUUCAUGUAACAUUUGAGGGUAUUGUUUGGGGGUAAAAAUAACGUGACCAAGUACACAUAAGUAGAACGUGCACCCCUCAGUCGGCCUAAGGCGACUCCUUGAGGAAAGUCUUCCCCGAUGAGUUGAGCAUUGGAGGGUUUAUGUUAGAAAAAUCUCCGACAUCCCCUAACUAGUUGUUAUGAACGCAAGCAUCCUUGGAGAAAGAGCUUGAGGUCCCAAGAGCCUAUUCGAUAAGAAAGAUAGAAGUACAAACCGACUCCCCAACAACUACUAAUUUAAGUGUUGGCGUGGUUGUCUGGUCGCUUCACAGCUCGACGAGAAUUCAACAUCAACAAAUAUUUUAGAACCUAGUGUAUCUUCAAUCAUUUUGGAUUAAAUUCUAUGACACUUUUUUCUUUUCUUCUCUUUUUUUGUGAAAACAAAUUUUAGUACACUUAUUUUAAAAGAAAUUUGUUAAUGAAAAACAAAAUAAUGACAAUGAAGAGCACUCAUUUAUAAAAAUAAGCUACAAAUAGAAAAACAAAAUUCAUAUAAGUAGAAUCUCCCAAAAACUAAAAGCAUUGUCGAAUUGAGUUACAAACUAAUAAUAAUUUCAUCAAAGUUUGUAAACCAAAGAUUGUCCUAAUAUCAAAAAGUUUCCAAUAAAACACUCCAACUGAAUUCUCCCCUGGAAAUAAUUAAAAUUUUCAAGUUAGUCAAUAAGAAAAAACAGCCAUCAAUCAUAAUAAGAAGCAACAGCAAAUUACACUAAAAAAAUGGCAGAAAAAAGCACCAAAACAACAAAUAUAAACAAGAAACAACAAUUAAAAAAAACCCAAAAAUGGCAUAAAAAGAUGCUCAAAGCAGCAAUAAAUUUAUAAAAAAUACCCUAAAAUAGCAGUGAAAAGUGCUUUAAAAAGCAUUAAAAAAUCCAAAAACAAUAGUAAACAUGCCUAGAAACAGUAGAAAAAACCCCCUAAAAUAGCAAGAAAACUGCCUAAAACUAGAAAAAAAAUCUAACAGCAAAAUCUUCCAUUGCCAGAUAAAGCUACGAAAGAAAAGAAAUAAAAUUCAUAAAGAGUCAAAGCUAACAUACUGACCACUUGCUAGAAAUUAAGCUAUAAAUCCCAAAUUUUUACACAAAUUAGUAUCUGAAACAAGAUUGGUUUGAUAUAUGAUAGUCAAGUAAAAUACCUAUAAAGUAGUACAAAUUCAGCAAACCUAAUGGCUUCACUCCACUGAUUUUCUUAAGACUCCAGUGAUGAGAAGCUGCCAACAGAAUGAUAAAUUGAGGUUUGACAGGAAGCACACAAACUAAACAAGAUACAUAACAACUUUGUUAUCCAUGUUACACCCUAGAACCAUUUCUAGGAAUAUUUGUUAGAAUAGCCACCAUAACAGUUGAUGAGCAACAUAAAACAGAGACAACAACAAAACCAGCAACCUGCAAAGUGCCAAUUCUUCCAUAAUUAAAUCAGAUACACAAUAGAAAUAAUUUACUAUUAAAAUCCCAAAUUCAUUUUAUCUUCUUCCUGCAUUUUCUCAUCAAUCAAACAUAAAAGAGAGCUCCUAUCGACACAUGCAAACAGCACCCACCAUCUUGUCGCAUUCAAACACAACCCAAGAUCACAAAAGUUAAUUUUCUAGAUUUAGUUAACCAAAGAAAAUAUACCAUCAACUGGAUCACCUUAUAAAUCAAAUACAAUUCCACAAUAUUACCAACCUCCCAAAAAAAAAAGGCACAAACUUUAAAAUGAAAACAACAACACCAUGAAAAAUAAGCAAAAGUGGGUAUUUAAAUCAAACAUGAUAGAAUGCAACAAAAGCAAAAAAGCUUUCGAUAGAAGCCAAAGCUAGAUGGGGUACAAGCAAGCUAGGAGGUACCAAUUAAAGAUGCUUCAUUCAAGAACAGAAAAGCUACCAGAAUGAUAAAAGUAGAAAAAAUGAAACAAUAAACAGAAAAUUGGGUGAAAGCUGCAACAAUAGUUUCAAUCACUUAACAGUACCAGCAAACUUAUAGUAAACUUUAAGAACUAGAUGUUUAAGCCACAGAUAAUGGGGACGUACCCAUGAGGAUAAAGACACAAGCGUGAGACCAGUAAAGCCGCCCAUCCUUAACUUGUGCAGGAAACAAAGUCGAAUGAAAAAGGAGGCAACGACGGUAGCGACGAAAACAGCUGGAUCGGAAGCGAACAGCUCAAGAUGAAAGCAACAAGUUAAUGGAUUGGAUUGUGUGCGCGAGAUGUGGCUUCGAUUUUAUUUGAUUAGUCAAGAAAUCGAAGAGAGAAAUUUGAGAGAAAUUUGUGAUUUCUGAGAGAGAGGCAAGAAAUUGAGAGAGAUUGGGCACGGUUGAAACACCUAAAUUAUAAAAAUAUAAAUUUUGCAGCCUUUGGGAACUGGUUGCUUCGGUUGCCCUUUUUUUGUUUUUUUUUUUAUUUCUUUUCAAUGUCAGCCGUUGGAUUCAUUUUACUUGAAUCCAACGACUGCAUUUACAAGCCAGCACAAUGCCGGGCCUCAAUGCCCGGCAUUGUAGCUUUAGCCUUUAAACGAUGUCCUUAUCGUUGGACAAGGUUGAGGAAAGACAGCGAUGUUGUGUUGUCACGUAUUUUUGGGCCGACCGUUUCCAGUUCCGGCUUAAAUGAGGCUUUUGUAUUUUUGUGCCCUUUUUUUUACUGAGUAUUUUGUCCUAAAUUACACCAAAGAAAAUGUGGACUUUAGAAUGUGACAGUAUUGAUAUCUAAGUUCAUAAUAUCAUGAUAAAACAAAUAAAUGAAUAGAAAUGUAAAUAAAUUUGGUUAAAAUUUAAUGGCUUCGAAUUCGGUAUGUUAUCAAACAAAUCAUACUCUUAGGAUUUGGAUUCAAUUCAUUUAUUAAUUGGAUGUCUAUUUAAUUCGUUUAUUAUACAAAAUUAAAUGAAUUGAAUUGAAUUUAGAUUCAUUUACAAUUUGUUUAAUUUAUUUAUGUAAAAUUAAUAAUAAAUCAAUCAAAUGUGGAUUUGUUUAAAAAAUAAUAAUAAUUAAUAACAAAAAUCAAGCAAAGUAAAAUAGAAAAAAAAUCAUAAAAUUAACAACCUACAAAAUAAAAACGAAUUAGUGACCGCAAACUUGAAUUCAAUUCAUUUAUUUAACGAAUUGAAUUGAAUUCACUUAUUUGUUAAUGAAUCAAUUUUUUUUUUAAAAUUCAAACCUAUUUAACUUGAAUCAAAUAAACACAUCCUAAUCUAAAUUGUCACCUCUAAAUAUGAUGGACCUAUUUAAAAUAUAUGAAUACCAAAAUGUGUGGGCUAAAAAGUGGUUUACCAUGCAACAAUACAAAGUUUAAGCUCUCUUUUCUUAUGUCAUCCAAGGCAUUGCCUAGAUCGCCAAACACUAGAGUUCAAGUCUACAAUAAAGAAUCGAAAUUUUCCUUUGUAUAUGUUCGUAAGUAUUUAGCAUAGAUUUUUUAGUUAUACUUGAUAGAUCCCCUACCAUAUUUGCUAUAAUAUUUCUCUUCUAUUUAAAAGUAAAUAAUGCAUAAUAACGGAUUUGUAAAGAAAUGAAAUUUCCAGUAAUUAUCUGAAAAAAAAAAGAUGGAUUAAGCGAAAGAAGUUAAUAUAGAGUAAGUCGAGUACUUGACAAUUAAAGUAAUUUUACUCGAGGUUGAGUAAGGAUAGUAGGAUACUUUCCCAAGUUUUCCGAGGACAUUCAUGUAACAUUGGACUAUUGACUAUAGUUAGAGAGAAGUCCUAGGAUGUAAGUGAUGAUGAUAGAUUCACAAUUCUUUUGAAGAAAAUAUUUUAUAUAAACUUAAUUAUAUGGUAUAAAAUGAUUGGCCUUAAUAAAAUUAAAAAAUAAUAAAAAUAAUACACGCCUGGGUCAUGCAAUAUUUUCAACCAACUAAUUUACACGCAAAAUUAAACCUUAUGAGUGAGAACAUUAUGGUACAUUUAUUUGCUAGCAAAAACUCCGCAAAAAUUUUCCGAAGUGUGAAAAUGAACACUUUUAACAAUGGCACAAAAUUCCCACCCCCCAUGAUUAAUUCUCUUAUCUGGAAUAUUAGGGGGCUUCCCCUGCGGAAAUUAGUUCGAUUACAUCGAUUGUCUUUGAUUUGUGUGUUGGAGCCAUUUAUUUCCGUUGAUCGUUUAGAGGCUCUUCGGGUGCGACUUGGGAUGGAUCAUGCUUUAUCUUCCCAAUCUGGGAAGAUUUGGGUUUUCUGGUCCGCACCUUUCUCGGUGGAGCUUUUGCAUGACAUGGGCAAGGUGAUUUAUUAUCGGGUUAGUCACUCUUUUUUUCCUGAUCCUGUGUAAGUUUCAUAUGUGUACUCUAGUUGUUAUAUGGAUGUGCGAGAGAAUUUAUGGGAUGCUCUUAAGACCUUUGUGGAUAGUCAUGACCUACCUUGAAUCGUGGGGGGAGAUUUUAAUAUGAUUCAGGCGGUCUCGGAGAUUUCUGGCUGGCAUCUACAGACUCGGGGAGCUAUUGAUGCCUUUAAUUUAGCGUUGCUUGAUUGUGGGUAGGAGGAUGCUAGCUUUGUUGGCAGUCCUUUUACUUGGACUAAUGGGCGCCCAUGGAGGCAGCUUGAUAGGGUGGUCUGCAACACUCACUAGUAUGCUUUCUUCUCAGUAUUUCGGGUCUCUCAUCUGAAUCGUACUGCCUCAUAUCAUUCUCCUUUGCUUUUUUUUUGGUGAUCGGGACGCUGUUAAAGGACCUUUACGGUUUAAAUUUCUUCAUGUGUGGCUCAUGCAUCCAGGUUUUCUUGAUACUGUGCGGCAGUCUUGGGGUGCUCCGGUGGUUGGUUUUGGAAUGAGAGCCUUUCAACAAAAACUCACUCGGUUAAAGUUCUGCCCAAAAGCUUGGAACAAAAAUGUCUUUGGUAACGUUUUUUAUCGGGUCCAACAAGCAGAGGAGGACGUGGCUCAGAAGGAGAGAUUGUAUGAUAUUUCUGGCUCCGCCGAUUACAGAGCUAAUUUUUCUGAGGCCAGGGCCUGGUUGCAGCAUGCUUUGCUUCGUGAGGAGAUUUUUUUUUGCGUCAGCAGUCCUGUGUUCGAUGGGUUCGAGAGGGCAAUACUAAUACCUAUUUUUUCCAUGCGAUGAUCCGGAAAAAGCGCCAGUUGUUUUAUAUUCACAGGAUUCGAGUUGAUUGUUUCUCAGAGUGGAUUUCUGAGCCCUCCGCCAUUGUAGAUUAUGAUGUCGAUUAUUUUCAAGAUUUAUUAACGGGAGAUGCCAGUCAAUUUCAGCAGACGGACUUCGAAGUUAUUCCAUCUCUUGUGUCUGUAGAGGAUGAUGUAGAGUUAUGUAGAGAGCCGUAUAUGGAUGAGAUUAGACAUGCGGUAUUUUUUAUUGAUCCAGAUAGUGCUCCUGGACCGGAUGGUUUUUGUAGCAGAUUCUAUCAGUCGUGUUGGGACAUCAUUUGCCAUGACUUGUUAAAUGUUGUCCUCGAUUAUUUUAGAGGUUCGGCAUGCCCAGAGGUUUCCAAAGUACUUUAUUGGUCUUUCUGCCUAAGAAGGCUUCUCCGGCUUCUUGGGCUGAUUUCCGUCCAAUUAGUCUUUGUAAUGUGAGCAACAAGGUCCUUACUAAGUUGCUUGUCCCAUCUCCUGCCUCACAUUAUUUCUCCUACUUAGAGUGGUUUUAUUCCUGGUCGAGUGAUUCAUGAUAACAUGCUCCUGGCUCAGGAGUUCGUUCACGAUCUCAAUCGCCAUACUCGAGGGAACAAUGUGGUUCUGAAAUUAGAUAUGGCGCAGGCAUACGACGUAUGUCAUGGCCUUUUAUUAUUAAGAUGAUUCACUGUUUUAAGUUCUCGAAGCGUUGGAUUGCUUUGAUUUGGCGAGCGAUUUACGGUCCUUAGUUUUCAGUGCUUAUGAACGGGGUCAGUAACAUAUAUUUCCAGUCCCAGAGUGGUCUUUAGCAGGGUGAUCCCCUUUCCCUUUGCUUAUUUAUUAUUGCUGCAGAAUUUUUAUCUCCAGGCUUAGAUCAUUUGUAUUCUCAAUAUCCCUCUGUUCGGUAUUGUUAUACUGCACCUACUUCUAUCUCCCACUUGAGUUUUGCGGAUGGUAUUGUUAUUUUUGCAAAUGAGAGCCGAUCUAACUUACAGUGGCUUGUGGAUUUCUUACACCAUUAUAAGGCGAUCUCAGGGCAGUUGAUUAGCGAGGACAAGAGUAACUUCUACAUUGGGAAGCCAGCUUCGACCUCCCGCCAGGCCAUUGUUCACUCUGUGCUUUCAGUGACGUCAGCUUCCGUUUACUUAUCUUGGGUGCCUGAUCUUUACAGGGCACCUCAAGAUCUCCUAUUUUGAUGACAUGGUCCGGAAGGUCAAGGAUAAGAUUUCUGGCUGGGCUAACCGUCUGCUUUCCUUUGGUGGGAAUCUCGUCCUCAUUCGCCAUGUGUUAUCCUCUAUGGCCCUGCACUUAUUUCACGUCCUCCGUCCUUUUAUAACGGUAGUUUAACGCCUAGAGCGAUUAUUCACCCGAUUCCUAUGCGGUGAUUUUGAGGGAAGACACCGGAUCCACUAGUGUAGAUGGCCAAAGGUUUAUUAUCCAGUUGACGAGGGUGGCCUCGAUAUACGAUCUUUUGAUGAUAUGGCGGAGGCUUUUGAGAUUAAACUUUGGUGGCGGUUUUGUUAGCAGAGUUCCUAUAUGAAGUCUAAGUAUUGCAGAUCUACGCAACCAAGCCUUAUCCAGUUUCGCUAUCUUGCCUCUCCUUUAUGGAGACACCUUUAUAAGAUUCGUUGCACGACUAAACCUCAUGUGCGUUGGCUCGUUAGGAGUGGAGAUUGUAGCUUCUGAUAUGAUUGUUGGCUGAGUUCUUGCCCUUUAUUUUUUUAUAACCCUACAACGGCUUUGUCGGUGUCGGUCUAGUUCUUUUGGCAGGGUACAAUCUGGGACAAAGGCAAACUAAAGGAUGUCUUGCCUUCAUCUAUUGUUGAGCAGAUCCUAUUAGUGCCUAUUUCUAGUGGGAAUCCAGACCUGAUUCGUUGGGACCUUGCCCCCGAUGGCACGUUUAACUUGCGGACUGCUUGGGAGCUUGUACGGUGCUCGAGGCCGAGGGAUGAGCUUUUCUCGAUGAUUUGGUAGAGGCAUAUCCUGUCACGAGUUUCCUUUUUUCUCUGGCAGCUACUUCACGGAUUCCUAGCUACUGAUGAUGCCUUAUACUUGAGGGGUUUCUACAUGGUUUCUCGAUGUAUUUGUCAGCGGGUUGCUGAGACUUCUCGGCAACUUUUUAUGGAUUGCCCGCGGGCCCAUCAUAUUUGGGUUCAUUACUAGCGGAUCAUGGGGAUGCGUGAGCUUUAUUUUCUGUCUCCCCGUACUUUGCUUUUAUUUUGGAAACAUUGUGCCCCUUCUCAGAAUCAUCAUCGGGUCCUUCUGCCUUACUUCAUUUUGUGGCAAAUUUGGAAGGCCCUAAAUGCUUUCUGGUUUCAUUCACAAUCUUUCUCCACUGAUGCGGUUAUCUUUCAGGUCGACUCUGAUCUCAGGCUUGCUAGUUCUGCUUUUGGAUUCAAGCCUCCCCAACUGAGGGGAGUCUUGGGUUCUCGUAUUGCGGAGAGCUUGCGAGUGACGGCUCCCCGUAGGAGGUCGAUUCGUCUAGUUGCUUGGAUGAGGCCAACUUCAGGGGUGGCUAAGCUGACUGUGGAUGGUUGCUCUAGGGGCAACCUUGGGAUGGCUGCUUCCGGGGGUAUUCUUCGGGAUCACCGGGGCGUGGUUUUAACGGCUUUUGGAUCCUUUUUGGUUUACAAGCCGAUCUUAUAUGCUGAGCUCAUGGUGGUGUGCGAGGGUUUGGAGCUUGCCAUUCAGCUUGGGUACUCAGUGCUCGAGGUUGAGUCAGACUCGGCUAUAGUGAUGUCAUGGAUUCACACCUCAGGGUCCUGUUCGAUGGGAAUGUUUUUAUUCUCUGCGCUGGGUGUGCCGUCUGGUAACGUCAUUCCCCAUUCAGGUGAGACAUGUUCUUCGCGAGGCUACUUAUGCUGCUGAUGUUCUAGCCAACUGGGCACGCACUCAUCGGACUAGCUGAUGUUUCUUAUCUCCUCGAGAGCUUCCCAAAGGCUUAUCUGGUAUUCUUUACUUAGAUGCCCACGCAAUCCCCCAUGUCAAACGUUAGGAUUUUAUCUUUUUCUUAUAUCUCAUUUUCUCUAGGAGGUUUUGGCUUAUAUCCCCUCCUUUGUAUCUAAUUCAUUUUCAGAUUUAUAUUAUAGGUAAGGGUUCCGUCUAACCCCACCACUCUGGUGGUUUAAAAAAAAAAAAAAACAAUGGCACAAAAUGCCUGUGAUAAUGAAACAAUGUGCCAUCCUUAAACUAAUAUCAUUACAAACUACAAGUGAAAGUUUUUGGAAAACAUGUGAUAAGUUUUUCUCGGAAUUUGUUUUCUUCUUUGUUUUGAUUUAAGUGUAAAAUUUUAAAAUCCGUAACAAAACAAAAAUUUACAUGGGUUGGGUGCACCUUGUGGUUCGUGCAUGCUUUCGUCUAAUAGUAUUUGAUACAUACAUAUUCAUUUUAAAAUUGACGAAUCGUAAUAAAAAAAUUUAUAUAUAAUAAUUGAAUGAGAUCCAUGGUUCACAAUUGCAAAUUAACGGUUGGUUUUAUAAUAAAAAUCUUUAUGUACAUACCAAAUUAAAAAAAGUUAUAAGUGAAUUAAGAUUUUCAAAAUUUGACUCGUAUUAUAUUGUGUACGUCAAUAUAAUAUAAAUUUGUUAUAUAUAUAUAUAUAUAUAUAUAUAUAUAAUCCAGUGCUUUGAAAAACUUUAUACUUGUUUGAACAGUUUUUUUGCUUUCUAUUUAUAUACGGUAUCAUUUAUGUUUACAUAAAUUUUCAUAUGUACCCAAAUUAAGCAUUAAAUACACAAACACUUUGUUAGGGCACAUGUAUAAUUAAUCUUAAUAAUUCUUAUACAAUCCUCUAUUUAACACCAGCAACGUCACCCAUUAUAAUUUAUCACUAAAUAUUGUAAAACUAUUGGUUUUCACGAAUAACUAAUAAAAAUUAUUUUUUUUAAAAGAAAAAUACUGCGAUUCCUUUCACUGUUGUAGUAGUAUAGUUAUCGUGGACGAUGAAUUUCUAGUAUUGUACAAUGAUAUUUAUGUUGAAUAUAACGCUUCAAUGAAUUUUAUUACUAUAUACUACAAUACUCAACCAUCUUCAUUAAAAAAAAAAAAAUUGCAUGAUUAGAAUGAUUAAAGUUCAUCUAAUGACGAGUUUCAUCAUUGACUGUGUCCAAACACAGCAGCAAUCCAGAAUACAUUUAACACGAGAGGCGCACACAAACAUGCAUGAUGAAUCUUCCACCAUUAAACCUGAAAUCAUAAAAUGAAAGAAACAAGAUGAGUGUUGUUUGUCUGAAAGCCGAUUCGAGAAAAAAUAAUAAUAAUAAUAGACCUUUGUUAAUAAUUAAUACUAGUUGUCACUACCUUGUGCAUCUUCCUCCUCUGUAUCAUCGUCCUCUUCCAAUCACACCGCAAGACCAGUAUAUCUCGAGAAUCUUUACUGCCUUCUCACAGAUCCCAUUGCUGUCAUGUCUUUUGAGAUCUUCAAUCUUUUUGAAUCCCUCAGCCGCCUCCACCAACCGUGCAUAAUGAUUAAAAUAUCUAUUGGCGGUACCCGUAUUCAUUUCAGCUUCCCCGACCUUCAAAAUGUUCUCUAAUCCUUUUAAGCAAAUAGUGACGAUCUCUGGAUCAGCGUAUAGAAGGAGAUCACACAAUGGUUUUAUACACCCCUUUCUCACGAGGUACUUGAUUUGCUCAUGAGUACCACCUGAGAUGGCAUUUGAAAUUGCCCGAGCGGCCUCCUUCUUUGUAAAAAAUUCAGCAUUUUGAAGCAGAUCGACAAGGGGACCAAUUACGCCAGCAUCAAUUACCACCUGAAUCUGUUCCCUGUUACCAGCUGUAAUAUUUGAAAUAGUCCUGCAUGCCUCUUUCGCAAUGCCUGUACACUGAGUCAGGAAACCAUCUCCCUUCACAAUAUAUCUGACAGUCCACAGGGGAGGAGUGAGCCCGAAGGGGAAGGGUAAUGGAUGAAGAAGGAGCUUAACAAGUCGUGGACAGACAUCUGCCUCGAUCACAGCUUGAAUUUUGUCAUUCGUACCAUCAGAUAGACAGGAUAGUGCCUCGCAGGCAUAUCUCAAGACAUCGUUGUCAUUUGAAUGAACAAGUUGUGCAAGCGCAGGAAGAGCUGGCCUCACCUGAUCAAAUGGUGGCUCUGGCUUGCCCUGGCAAAAACGAGACAAUGUCUUUGUGGCAUUUCUUAGCAUUGAAGGCUUAGCAUGCUUAUUUAACUGUGCCAGCAACGGAAUCAAAGCUUUUUCACUGAGCACAAGAUCACGGUCUCUAGGUGAGCUACGAGCAAUAUUUCCCAGUGCCCAAACAGCCUUCUCUCGGACAUCAUCACUUGGAGAAGAAAGUAGCUUCACAAAUAUUGGAACAGCACCGCCGUCGAUCACCACAUUAGUAUUCUCAGAAGCAAUGUUUGUAAGAGCCCGAGCAGCUUCCAACUGAAGCUGCGGAUUGUCUUCCCUAGUAAGAAACUCAACAAAGCGCGCGACAACGCCAGAUUGUAUGACUUUCUCACUUGGUGGUAGGAGCAGUUUUCGGAACCAAGUAGUUGCUUCCAGCUGCAAGCCACUGUCAUCUGACCAAACCCCAGCAAGCAUCCCAGGUAAACUCACCAACUUAUUUUAGGAGCAGGAGCAGGAGGAGGAAAUUAAGUUAGGGAUUUAGAGUGAGAGUGAAGGUGGAGAAAAAGCAAGAGAGGGAAAAAGCUUAUUGUUGAGAAAUAUGUACCUUUUGUAUGGUUGUGUUAAGGUCGUCCUUCCAAGCCCAACAUGCUUCACCAUGCCGCUCCACUUUGUGUAAUUUGGGUGUACUUAAUUUUCCUUCAGAGAAAAUCUUCAUAUCGGGGCAAUCAUCCACCACUAAUCUUUCUAAAGAUGGGAACUUGAAAGCACAAUUGCCAGAGCAGAAGCUUGUCAGGCGUUCUAAGUCUACAAGCUUCAACUCCUUCAAUUCUCUGAAAGUAAUAACCUCAUCUUUUGCUACAACAUCAUCCCCCUGUACUAUUUCUGUUAUCCUAUCGCAUGAUUUUAUCUUCAUAUAUCUAAGUCGCACCAGAGUCUUUGCAAUUAAGGAUGUUAAUACGAUUUUCAAGUUGUUGCAACGCGAUACCACCAUAUUUGUAAGAUUCUGAAAGGAUGUCGACGGUGGCACUAGAUUGACUAAAUGGUCACACCCCUUUACACGUAGAAUAACCAAGUUGUUCGUAACAGAGGACUCCCUUAUCAAAAUGUGCUCCAGAUGAAAUGCUUCUCUUAUUUCUACCCACAUCCCAUUUUCAACCUUCUCAUACGGCAACGAGGCACUAUAUCCUCCUAUUUGGAGGACUUUCAUUGUGUGAAGUCUCUGGAGGAAGUCACCAAGUGAUAAAAUCGUCCGCUCAUCACCCAAGUGAUAUUUAUUUGUCACUACGUGCUUUGCAUCAACUUUCAACUUUUCCAAAUUAGGGAAUACCUGGGAGAUCGAUCACAACCCCAAAAAAAAGAAAAAAAAGAAAUACAAGAUGAAUCAAUUGAUAAGAAAUAUAAGUUACCACUAAUUUAUACAAUAUAUUUUAUUCAAUAAAUCUUAACCUUUAAAAAAAAUAGUAAUAAUAGUAUGCCUAACAUCUAGAAUAAUUAUGAAUGAAUACUAUACACUAAUCCGUAAGAGAGUUACGUUGCUGACAAUUUGAGUUUUAGUAAGAAACCAAGCGAUGAAGGCAAAGGCAAUAUAACUCUAAACUCUAUGAUAUAAACUCUCACAGUGCAUACAUAAGAAUUGAAAAAUUGAUUAUAAAAUUCUUGUACCUACCCUUUCCGUGAAGAUACUAGUAGUUCUCACCAUGAAUUCAGGACAUUUAGAUAUCCGUAAUUCUUUCAAGGAUGGAAAUUCAAGAAUAUCAAGAUCUCCAGUGCAGAAGCUUGUGAACUUUUCAAGAUCAGACAUCUUCAGAUAUUGCAACUGAGGAAACAUUACAAUAUUUUUCUUCCUUUCUUCUUGGUUGUCCAUAACUAUUAACUCUUCCAAGACAGGACAUCCGACUAUCUCAAUGCAUUGGAGUUGAACAAAGCUACUAACGGUAGAAGAUGAAAAUAGACAUCUUAAAUUCAUACAGCAGGACAGGGUCAAGCGCGUUAAAUUCUGAAUACCACAAGACAUGACUGCAACUUGGUUUUGCCAAAUCCUUUCAACAUUUAUUGAAAGCAAAUGCAACUUCUCUAACUCUGGUAACCGAACCUGCUCGAUCAAAAAAUUAACUCGUUAAUUACAAGCAACAAUGAUUUCUGUUGAUGGACAAAUCAAUAAAAUUACUCUUUCUCUGGUUAUAGUUCUUUUCAGUUUUUCAUACAAACAACCGUUAAUCAAGUUUUCCAAAUUAUUCCUUACUAAAUGUAUAGAUUUAGACGGCGGCUAAUAUAAUUCAUAUUGCAAAUAUUCUUUGAUUGUAACGAAUUUUGUAAUAUUAAAUUUUGGUUGAUUCGCAAUAGGACCUACUAUCCAGCGGGAGCAGUUCCUUGGGAUUUAACUACUGGCACCUCGAUUAUAUAAAAAUUUGGAAUAUUUUCAAAGGAAAUCACAUAAUUUCCCCUUGCAAAUAGUAAUUAUCAUUAAUUGCCACGGGUUGACAUAUAAUUCUAAGAAAUUAGGCGAGAAGAGUCUCAUCAACAAUCAAUCAGCAGAUAUCACGUUUGGCAGAUCAUCAUGAUUUCCUCAUAUGCUAGAGAAUCAACGUGAUUUCCGCUCAUGCAGGAGCAGGAGUGGACACAUUAUCUUAGAGCAUCCCUCACUGAGAUCUUUUAAAAAAUUUAUAUUAUAAAGUGAACAACAUAUUAAGUAUAGAUUUAGACGGCGGCUAAUAUAAUUUAUAUGUAUUCUAAUGACGUAUAUUAAAGAAAAUGACUAACCAUAAUUUCAAUCAACUUAUUAGUCUAUAUAUAUAUAUAUAAUAUAUAAUAUAUUCAGUGAUUACAACAUAUUUAGUAUUCCAUAACAUGAAGUUUAUAAUAAUAAUUAUUAUUAAUUCACUUAUUGUGUCAAGAACAUUUUCUUUCUCUAAGAAUGAAUUUGUUACACCCUACUAUACUACGGAUGAAAAAUUUAGAAUCAUUGUGAAAUAUAAUUAUUAAUCACUCUUUGCCAUAUUUGCGACCAAAGAAGAAUAUAACAAAGAAAAGAAACAAAAAUUAUAGAGAAUUAAUGAGACCAUUGACGUAUUAAUAACUGACCUUCCCAGUGAAAAGCGUAUUAGAAAUUUGGAUAUUGUCCUCCAAAAUGAUUUCAUGUGACUGCAAAUCAUUAGCUGAUUCCUGUUGUCUCUGUUGACAUUGAGUGUAAACUUAAUUGUGAGCACAAUCUUAAUGCAUAGAUACAAGAUCUCUAAAAAUUAGUAUAAUAAACUUAGCACAAAAUCUAAAUUUGAUAUUUCGGAUUCCAUGAUUAAGAUUUUUUAAAUAAAAAUUUAAUAUAGUUAAUUUAAAAAUAAAAAUUAAAUAUGAAAAAUUAGAUUUGCAAUUAUGGAUUUAAUUUUGAUAAAUAAUGAAUGUUCUCUUUAUAUUUUUUUUUAAAGGUAAAACAGCGUACAAAGCCCAAAUUCAUUUUUUUAGUCCCUUACUCUCCCAUGAUUCAAACUUGGGUGGUUGUAGGGGGACUGAAAAUAUGUAAGACAGUUAACUUCACUUUUUUUUUUUUUUGAGAGAGAAAAGAGAAGAAGGAUAUUACAAAGCACGAAGCUCGUGCAAUAUAAGGGCAAUUAUGGUUUUUUCUUUAAAUUAAAAUGGUAAGAUUCUGAAGCUAAAAGAUUAAAAUAUUAAUUAAAUUGCAAACAUUAAAGAUUUUUUUUCCAAAAUUGGUUGCUUUGAAAAUGAGAAUAAUAUAAUGUUUGAAGACUUUUCAAAAUUAAUUACUGUGAUGCACUAGAAAUUUCUAGCUUUAGUCUAAUGUAUAAAUUGACAAAACGAUAUUAGAAUCCCAGGUGAAAAGAACCCUCUCAUACCAAUUAUUUAAAUUAGGAAUGAUCAUACCUCUGACUCUGCCGAACUGAGGGCGGGGUCUAAACCCCUCAUACGGAGACGCUUGAGAUGGGAAGAGCCCACUUUGACUAAUUCAUUACGAAUAUAAUCGACAUCUUGCUCUUGCAAUCCACGUAAUUCAAGGUCUUCAAUUCUCUGCAGUUGCACGAUCAGCGAAUCCUUCAAGCAAAUCUUGUCAUUGAGGUCGAGACUGAAUUCACGACACCAACUGCCGUUGCUCUCCUCAUCAUCUCCAAUGCGUAUGCUGUACCUUUCCAGCUUCUCCAAGAGCAGGCCUCUGGGCAGAGUGCUGACGUCAUAGACGUGUAAUUCCAAAGAGGUCAAGUUGGGCAAAUGCUUCAACUCCUCAAGGCUUGCAUUCUUAACCCCUCCCACCUCCAUCUCCCAGUAACGAAAGCUUUGAUCUAUAUAUAGUUCUUCUAAAUGUGAUAAUUUUGACAGUAUAUUUGGUGGAAUAACUUCUAGAUAGCAACAAUCCCUCAAAUCAAGCAACUUUAGCCAAGUCAAUUCACCUACUUCUACCGGCAACUUCUUAAUAUAAGAACCUCUUAAGCAAAGGAUUUCUAGUUUCUUCAAGCCUCCUACAACACUUAUAUCGGGCAAGAUGAAGCCGCACAAACUCAGUGUUCGAAGGUUUGACAGGAGACCAAGUGAUGAAGGCAGUGACCGUAGAAACAUGCCAGUCAAGUUGACAACUCUGACCUGCAUCAUCCUCUCGAAAAAGUUGUUUGGAAUUGUUAAUGAUGAAAA